GUUGAACACACUUCUGAAUGAACCUGGCCGUCAGGUUUUUAAAGCCAAGUCCUCCAAAUUCAAGUGCACAGAAAACCACAUUGAGGGCAGUAUGGAAUAUAUCUUUAAUAGCAAAGAUCAACCCACCAUUUUGUUAAAGGAGCUUGAUUUACAGAACAGCUUAAUAACAACGACCCUUGCAAAACCAGGCACAUCUACAACCACUAAAGAAACUACAGCUUUGAUUGGGAGGGUGAUUUUUUACAUUCGGCUCAUUUUUAUCACACGGGGCCCCAUACCAAGUGAGAGCCAUGUUCAACAUGUGGUCAACUUACUGCUGGCCCCACGUCUCAGAGCUAAACAAGACACAGCACAGACCCUGAAUGAUCCUGUGAGCUAUGUGAAUGCCAGCUAUGAGAAAAUUGCUGAUAAUUCAUAUGCCCUCAAAUGUGGAUUUGAGAUCAACAGUCCAUCAACGGGAGAGAAACUUGAACUCAGGGAUGGCAACUACACAUUCAUUCAAAACUCCAUAAAAAGAAAGCUGAACCAGAUCUUAAGUGACUCUGACACUUCUGUUGAGUUCAACAAAGCCAGUUUCACGAAAAAUUCCAUGGAGGUCAUUGCUGAUAUUGACUAUAUUUUCCGGCAACAAGACAUCAAGUCACCCAGUGACUUCCUCCAAGGACUUCUCAAAGUUACGAAUAGCUUAACAACUCCAGCUCCAACAGGGAAUAAAACAACUCAGAAACCUGUACAAACACCAAAUGUGAUUGGGAGGGUGAUUAUUCACAUUCGGCUCAUAUUUAUCACACGGGGCCCUGUACCAAGUGAGGCAAAAAUAUUACAGUUGGCAAACUCUCUGCUGGGCGCACGUUUCAGAACUAAACAAGAACUAAGGGCACAAAGCUUAGGUACCCCUGUGAGCUUUGUGAAUGUUACUUACACAAAAAUUUCUGAUACGUCAUAUGCCCUGAAUUUUGGAUUUGAAAUCAACAAUGUUACCAUGUCUCAGAAACUUGAACUCCGGGAUACCACAUAUAAAUUAAUCCAGGACACUAUAAAUAAAUUGCUGAACGAGAUCCUAACUGAGCCCACAGCCACUCCAUUUGUGUUCAAAGAUAGCAAUUUCACGGGUAAUUCCACCACUAUUCAGGCUGAUGUACAGUAUGUUUUCUCAGAAAACGACAUCCAG
rnacentral:lncRNA from 1 species